rnacentral:tRNA from 1 species
GGAGGUGUAGCUCAGAGGUAGAGCACUUGCCUUGCUUGCACGAAGCCCUGGAUUCAAUUCCCAGCACUGCAA